AAAGAGAUUAGUUUGUGUUGAAUGGGCGGAGAAGAAAAGACAGAACAUUCCAAGCAGAGUGGAGAUAGAAUAAAAUAGAAAUGAGCAGAACCUGCAAUGGUCUAUUUAAUAUACAAGAAACUGGCAUGCUUUGAUCAGAAGUUUUGUAUUUGUACAUAAAAGUGGUUAAGUUUGGUAAGAUGGAGGGAUUUGAGAGCUAGACAAUGAAGUUUACUACUAAUUAGCUACAGAAAUAUUUUAGGCUUUGGAAUGACAGUGUCCAAAAUACCUUCUCCUUGUCCAAACAAAAAUUUUUCCUAUUAUAAUUAAAAUUCUUUGCUGAUCAUGUUCACAAAUAGGACAUUUCUGAUGACUAAAGAAUAAACUGCAAAGAAAAAAUUUUGUUUCCAGUGUAGUUAACUAAAAACAUGUUAGAAAUAAAUCCAUAAUAAUUUUACUAUAUUGCAUUAUACUUUACUUCGCUACCCGGUGUAAUCAAGAGAGAUAUCACUGUUGGUAUACAUAUGGUCACUUG
rnacentral:lncRNA from 1 species